AGCAGUUCUUUUAUUCAAAGCCAUCUCAACAGUUUACGAAUGAUUCAUCCUUCUAUACUGAGUUCCACAAAUGUAGAAACAGCUUGGAUAAAAGCCCUUUUCUUCAAGCUUGCGGUUAUGGACAGCUGGAUGUUCUUGAAAAACUACUUCAGGAAGGUAAUGAUCCUUACUCAAAGUCCUUGUGUGGCCGAACUGCAUUACAUGAAACCUGCAUAGGGGGACACAUGCCUUGUUUGAUGCUUCUGCUGGAGCUGUCCCCUAAUCUAGACGGCCAGGAUCAUGAUGGCUUCACAGCUGUCCACAUGGCUGCUCUUCAUGGUGAGGAAGAGUGUUUGAAAUGCUUGGCCUCGAAGGGUGCCAACUUGCUACUGGGUGACAAUUAUGGCCGACUUCCAAUUCACCUUGCUGUUAUGAGAAACCACUUGAACAUUGUUCAGCUGUUAUUAAGUGAUGGCAAUGCAAGCUUGGGUGCAACAUGCAAUCUUAAGAAGACACCUUUGCACUAUGCUGCACAAUAUG
rnacentral:lncRNA from 1 species